AGAGGACAGAGGAAUCUUCUCCCAAAGGCUUCUCAUCUUUUUGUUUGUUCUUCUCUCCUCAGAUGCUGAUAGGUCUUGCUGGCUACCUGAGUGGAUAUGAUGUUCUGUGCAUUCCUCGGCUCCUGGCUGGUCCCCUUUGCCUACCUCACUGUACUGGAUCUGUCCAAGUCCCUCUCGGCAGCACUGCUCACAGCUGCCCUCCUCACCUUUGACACGGGAUGCCUCACUCUGUCCCAGUACAUCCUCCUUGACCCCAUCCUGAUGUUCUUCAUCAUGGCUGCCAUGCUGAGCAUGGUCAAGUACAACUCUUGCGCCGACAGGCCCUUCUCUGCCCCCUGGUGGUUCUGGCUCAGCCUGACUGGCGUUAGUCUUGCUGGUGCUUUAGGGGUCAAGUUUGUCGGCCUCUUUAUCAUCCUUCAAGUGGGGCUGAACACCAUUGCAGACCUUUGGUACCUGUUCGGAGACCUCAGUCUUUCAUUGGUGACUGUGGGAAAACACCUGACUGCUCGUGUCCUGUGCCUCAUAGUGCUGCCCCUGGCUCUCUAUACAGCCACCUUUGCUGUU
rnacentral:sRNA from 1 species